CUCCUGCCUCCCGCAGGGCCCACCUGUGUCCCCCAGCGCCGCUCCACCCAGCAGGCCUGAGCCCCUCUCUGCUGCCAGACACCCCCUGCUGCCCACUCUCCUGCUGCUCGGGUUCUGAGGCACAGCUUGUCACACCGAGGCGGAUUCUCUUUCUCUUUCUCUUUCUCUUCUGGCCCACAGCCGCAGCAAUGGCGCUGAGUUCCUCUGCUGGAGUUCAUCCUGCUAGCUGGGUUCCCGAGCUGCCGGUCUGAGCCUGAGGCAUGGAGCCUCCUGGAGACUGGGGGCCUCCUCCCUGGAGAUCCACCCCCAAAACCGACGUCUUGAGGCUGGUGCUGUAUCUCACCUUCCUGGGAGCCCCCUGCUACGCCCCAGCUCUGCCGUCCUGCAAGGAGGACGAGUACCCAGUGGGCUCCGAGUGCUGCCCCAAGUGCAGUCCAGGUUAUCGUGUGAAGGAGGCCUGCGGGGAGCUGACGGGCACAGUGUGUGAACCCUGCCCUCCAGGCACCUACAUUGCCCACCUCAAUGGCCUAAGCAAGUGUCUGCAGUGCCAAAUGUGUGACCCAGAUAUUGGUUCCCCCUGUGACCUCAGGGGAAGAGGUCACCUGGAGGCUGGUGCCCACCUGAGUCCAGGCAGACAGAAAGGGGAACCAGACCCAGAGGUGGCCUUUGAGUCACUGAGCGCAGAGCCUGUCCAUGCGGCCAACGGCUCUGUCCCCUUGGAGCCUCAUGCCAGGCUCAGCAUGGCCAGUGCUCCCUGCGGCCAGGCAGGACUGCACCUGCGGGACAGGGCUGACGGCACACCUGGGGGCAGGGCCUGAGCCUACAGGGAGGCACAGGGCA
rnacentral:misc_RNA from 1 species